rnacentral:lncRNA from 1 species
UUAAUUUAAAUUUUAGGAAUUUUAGAUAUAAUACUAUUUCUAAAUAUGUUGAAUUUAAAUAUUAAAUAUUUAAAUUUUAAAAAUUAAAUUUAAAUUAGAGAAAUUUUGUAUUACUAUUUUUUAACAAAAUCGGUAAAUGUUUAAAUUUAACAUAUUUAGUAUGUUUAAGAAAUUUUUAAAUUUCUCUAGUUUAGACAUUAAUUUUGUAUCACUAAUUUUAAAAAAAAUUGAAUGUAGAUAAAUAUUUAAAUUCAACAUAGUUAAUAUGUUUAAAAAAUUUUAGGAUUUUUUAAAUUUAGACAAUAAUUUUGUAUAACUAUUUAAUUUUUUUUAAUAUUGGUAAAUAUUUAAAUUCUUCGUAUUUAAUAUGUUGGGGCAAUUGCUUAUAUAUUUCAUAGGUUUAGUUUGGUAUUGAGCUCUAUCUAACACCACUAGAUAAAAUGGAGUUGAGGAAAAAGCAUAUAGAGAUAUGCUUCUGCGUUCUCCGAUGGGACUGCAGAAAAUAUAUCGUAAACGACUUAUCGCGAUAUGCAGAACGCAAUAUACCGCACGUAACGCAAUCUCCUCGUAAUCCCAAACGAAGCCUUAAAAUUUUUCAACUUUUUGAUUUGCCCCUCUUAGAGGGCUAAUAUUAAAAAUACUCUUUUAACAUUCCAAAUUAUUUCAAAUAUAUUCCGAGAGUUAAAUUCUAUUAGUAAACUAUUAGCAACAACCGUUAUCUCUGUCAAAUUACUAUUUUGCCCUUUUGAAUAUAUCCUUCUACCGUCACCUACUUUUCUAUUUGUCCUUAAUAUAGUGGCAAAAGUAGUAUUUAAACUUAACAAGUACUAACAGUAGGGAUAUUUUUGAAUAACGGGGAACUAUACGAGGGGCAUAUUUGAAACAAAAAAAAAGUAGAGGUAAAUUGGAUAUUUCAAAAGUUUUCAGGGAUGUAUUAGAUAUUAUCCCUAAUAUGUUUAAGAAAAUUUGAAUUACUUUAGCUUAGACAUUAAUUUUGUAUUACUAAUUUAAAAAAAUUAAAUGUGGGGUAAAUAUGUAAAUUCAAUAUAUUUAAUAUGUUUAAAAAAAAUUUAAAUUUUUUUAAUUUAGACAACUAUUUAAAAAAAAUUGAAUGUGGAUAAAUGAUUAGGAAUAUAGGGUAUAGGUGAAAUUUAUU